ensembl:lncRNA
GAGCUACCCAGAAAUCUCAAGGAGGAGGGGUGUGUCUGUAUAUAAAUCAGAAAUGGUGUAAAAACGUGACCGUUCGUAGACAAGUGUGUCUGCCUGACAUUGAGCUCCUCUCUGUGUCUUUGAGGCCGUUUUAUCUGCCGAGGGAAUUCCCACAGAUCAACGUCACCGUCGUUUACAUCCAUCCUAAAGCGAAUCCUAAGAAUGCGACUGACACCAUCUCCAACGUCAUCCACUCACUACAAUCUCUCUCCCCUGAGGCUCCUAAUAUUGUUCUUGGGGACUUUAAUCGCUGCGACUUGAAGAAAACACUGAGCAGUUUUUAUCAGUAUGUGAACUGUUCCACACGCUUCAAUAAGACUCUGGAUUUGUGUUACGGUUCCAUAAAAGGUGCGUAUACAUCUGUGGCUGGCCCCGCCCUCGGAUCCUCGGAUCACAACACGGUGCAUCUUCUGCCAGUUUACAAGACUGUGCUGAGAAGAGAGAAAGUGAGGAAACACCGCAUAAAGGUUUGGAGUGACGAUGCCUCUUUAGCCCUGCAGGGCUGCUUUGACUGUACAGACUGGUCGGUGUUUAUAGAAUCAUGCAGAGACAUUAAUGAACUCACUGACGUUGUCUGCAGCUAUAUCUCCUUUUGCAGAGACAUGAUUAUCCCUUCAAAGGAGCUUAAUGAUGAGGGUGAAGAUGGAGUGAACUAUGAAAACAUUGGAGACUCUUCUGCUUCUGUCAGACUCCACUGUGUGUGUGUGUGUGUGUGUGUGUGUGUGUGGCUGGGUCUAAGUCUGAGACUUGCUGAGCUCUGUGGGACAUUGUUAUGAUGGGUGAGGGUUGCUCCUCCCCACCACUCCCUGCUGGUCACUGUCCUUGAGAACUUUUAGGAACUCUUUCUGGGGCCUCCCUCCUCCUUCUGCACAUGGUUGUCAUCUGGACGUGUGGGCUUGGGUCUCAAGUACUCCUGGGGUGCUUUGGAUGGCCCUGCUGAACUGGAUUGUUCCUUGUCUACUUCUGGGUCCAGGGGUGUUGUUGUGGCCUCGGACCCUCAUUAUUAAGUCCGUUUUGUGACACACACACACACACACACACACACACACACACACACACACACACACACACACACACACUUAUAGCAAAAUUGACCAUGUACAUGUGUGUCUUUGUAUUUUCCUGAUGUGCUGUUUGCUUUUUAUAUAUUUUCUUACAAUUUUCUUACAGGUGCAACAGUUGGUGAUCUGCUGAGUUUAACUAUGACUGCUUCGUACUUUUAUUUGUCUCUUUUCUAAGAUUUUCUCUGCUUUUUAUUUUUUGUGUCACUCUCUUUUCCCCUGUCUUCUCUUUACCCCUUCUUACUUUUCAUUGCCUGUCAGCUCUUGUAUUGCUAAAUUACACAUAAACAAAGUGAAUACGAAUGAAAAUAAAUAAAAGAAAAAAAGAAAGAAAAACUAAGAAUGCAAGGCUACAGACAUUUCAUAUUGCUCCUUUGGGCAAAACAAAUGAGUUUGGCUCAACAGAGCAUUCAGAUCAUGUUUCUCCUGUCAGAAAAGAGGUUUCAAAAAAGGAACAAAAAAAAGUUUUGAUUUUAUCUCAUGUUUAGCUAAAACCUUUUUCAUGUGCAGUUUGAUUUGUUUUUAGAUAAAUCUAACUUAAAACAAUAUUUUAUCCUUCAUUUAGUUAUGAUAAACAGGAUCUUUUGUUGUGUAAAUCUGUAGCUGCUGAUGUUUACUGAAGGUAAAACAGUGAGAUCAGAAUCACAGGUUUUUUAUUGCUUCUUAAAUUUUGUCUUUUGAUUGUUUGUCUUUAUACUUUAUUUUUAUCCCUGAGCUCUUCUCUCUCUUUUUGAGAUGUGGAGAGGAGGUGAGUUUUAAAGACAUUUAAAAAUAGUAAAAGAUUUUAUGAUUCAAAUUAUAACUUCAAUGUUACAUUUUACUUUUUCAUGUUUUGGAUGAUAAUAC